GCUUGUGUUUUCAGAGGUAGAGGACCCCAGUGGAUCACAGCCAAAAUGUAAAGCCCGACCUGUAUCCACUCUGUGAACAACCACAGGAAGAAUCCCCAAAAGAACAGGAAAUAGAAGUGGCUGAAAGAAUAUCUACAGACAACAUAUCUUAACUGUUUGCCUUUUACUUUACAGAUUAUUUUCCAGAACAUGGCAUUUAAAGGACUCCUUAUGGCACUUGGAAUAUUCAAGAUCCUGCUCCUCAAUGAUGGCUGAGUAGUCCUGCAGCUGAAGCAGACAUAGCUGCAAGGACUUCAAGAGCAUGUGUUGCAUGAACCUAUCUGAACACAGAAGCCAGGUUUGAGUAAGGCUAUUGGAAUUAAUUUUUAACUCAUGAAAGUAGCAUUGAAAAUCACCAUGAAGAACUAAAUAAACAGCUUGAUUUUCUGUUGCAUA